CUUUGUGAAAUGACUUGAGAGGUGUAG
rnacentral:snRNA from 1 species